AAAUGCUCACGCCAGCUGAUGGAAGUAUCUGUGCUUUGAUCAGGAAGAAGACAGUUUCUCCUUUUCAGACAGGAUUAUAAACAGGAAGAGCAGGUGACCUACCUGUACCAGCAAGUGCUGAGAUGAGAUCCCUGGGCAGAUGACGGUUUCCAUUGCCCUUUGAAAUGCAUGAUGGAAGAAGUCAAUCAGGAAAUUGGCAUUGAACCGUCCGGUUCUUCCACAGUCUAAGCUCCUGCUAGGUGCAGUAGUUUGCCAGCCUCUUUUCAAAUGCUUUUUCCUACCCCUAAAUUAUUGCUGGUGCACGUGACAAUGACUUUUUCUUGCUCGAUAGUGCAGUUGUGUUUGUUAUUUUUCUAGAGGCUGCAUUAAAUAGUUUUAAAGAUUAGAUUUGUAGGUUAGCUCACACAGAAACACCCAAAACUGUAGGAAGAAAUCUCUUUUUUUUUUUACCUUUAUUUCACAUCUACCAUUUCUGCACAUUUAAUUGUGAAACUAAACCAGCUACUUUGUUGUGUUCAAACAUGUAAUGCAGACUUACCAUAAAACCUAAACUUAGUCCCCACUGCCUCCAAGCCAGAGAUAUGUUAUUAAAGAAAUCCUUUCCUCAGAACAGUGCAGCAGAGAUUCGUAAUUGUAUUUUAUCUGGGUUGGGGCACAAUAUGGGAUGUUACUGUGGCUAAACAGUCCUGUCUCUUACUCAUGUUCUUAACUUACAAAGCCACGCUGCCUCCAAAACUAAAAAUGUACACAAAACAAAAAGCACAGGUCCAAGGUUAAGAAUGUAUUGGCAUUUCCUAAAGCAUGGUGGCCCUGUGGUUUGAACAGUGGCACAGGAGGGCAGUGCGGCCUAAAACAGAAGUCUAUUGGUUCAGUUUCGUCUAACCCACAUCACAUCAUCUGCCUGAAACACUACUAAAACAAGUAACGCUUUUACUAGCAAAUCUCGCACAACACAACACAGCUAUGGAAAAAAGACAUUUCUGAACUGAAAUAAAUAAAAUACAAACAAUUUGAUCAGGGGUAACGUGUACAAGAAUUCCUGGUCACGAAUCGGACAGAAAGCACAGGUUGUAAAAUAUUCAAAACAGGUAAGCUACCCUAAAAUCAAUCAAUCAAUCAAUCAAUCAAUCAA